ACUGUCAGACCACCUCUGCC
rnacentral:miRNA from 1 species